rnacentral:sRNA from 1 species
GGUGGCUGAAGGUCUUUCGCUAAACGUAAGAAAUAAUUAGAAGUUAUCUCUGAUUUGCUUGAAAAUUUUCUCACAAAGAUGUGCAGUUAAUGUAUUAAGACGAAAAGGGAUUUGCUGGCCGACAUACCUGAAAGGUACGCCAAUGCUAUCGAGUUAUUUAGAUCUGAUGUACACACCAAAAAUGGCGGCCGCCAUGAGAGCCACAUGGUAUUAUCAUCAACACUGAAAUAGUGUAACAGUGAAGUAGCGCUGUGUAAAAAUCAUAAUCAAUUAUUAACUCUUGUGAUUUAUAAAUCAUGAUCACGACACGCACACACAGACGUCCAGCUAAAUUUGAAGAAUGCAUCACAGGAGACGACUUGGACGAAGCCGUAACUUCAGACGAGGACUCUUUAACCGUUCAUCGACAAUGUGAUGACAACACAUUGAAAUCAUUUGCUGAGAAGCUGUCUCAACUUAGUUCAAUCAAAAGUCAAUCAAAAAUACCAGAGUUGUCUCAGUCACACCUUACAGAUCUUCUGACUACUCACAAGAAAAAACUACAUGAACAUCUAGAUGAUAUUGAAUCUAAAGUCAAACAUUGCAACUCCACAAUUGAUUCUUUACAUGUAAAAACCAAUGUACUAGAUAACCAAUUGAAAGAAAUCAUUGGAUCUCAGAAUCAACAGACUUCUUUGUUAGAAACUCUUCAGUCCCAGAUCACAAACCUUCAAGACCGUGUUGAAUACAUAGAGACUACGAAUUCAUCAUGGCUUACACAUAUCAACAAUCCAAAACAUCUCAAUGAACAUCUACCUGUGGUCUCUCCAAAAGCGGGCAAAAGCCCAACACUUCCUAAACCACAUUCAUUUCAAUCAUCGAUCUGCAGUACAAAUGCAAAUAAUCCGGUUGUAAACUCUUCACCAGCAGAUGUUAUGUUACCAAACCCUCUUGACAACAAUUUGCAAAAAACAGAAGAUAAUGCAAACACAAUUACAGAAUGUGAUGUCCUUAUCCUAAGUGAUUCCAUGCUUAAAAGAAUACAACCAAAGCGAUUUACACCAGAAGGGAAAACUAUAAUACGCUUUAUAAGAGGAGGCGCAAAGGUGUGUUCAAACUUCGUUGAGAAGUACUAUCAUAAAGUUGACCCAAAAUCAGUGUUGAUUCACGUUGGAACAAGAGACCUCCACAACAACAACGUAAAUCUUCUAAAGACUUUUAGUUAUGUACAACAGUUUGGUCACACUCCAAAAUAUACUUAUUACCAAUCAUAUACCGAAAAGAUAUUAAUGCUAGCAAAGUGGAUCAGGCAAAUGCUGCAAUCUAUGCAGCUUGUCGUCAAUACUCAAAAUUCACUGUUGCAGACCCAUUCCAACCAACAGAAGACAUGUACCAUGAUGAUGUCCACCUGA